UACGUAGGGUGCGAGCGUUAAUCGGAAUUACUGGGCGUAAAGUGUGCGCAGGCGGCCGCGCAAGUCGAGUGUGAAAGCCCCGGGCUUAACUUGGGAAUUGCGCUCGAAACUACGUGGCUGGAGUGUGGCAGAGGAAGGUGGAAUUCCAGGUGUAGCGGUGAAAUGCGUAGAGAUCUGGAGGAACACCGAUGGCGAAGGCAGCCUUCUGGGCCAACACUGACCGCG
rnacentral:rRNA from 1 species